UGGGGAAUAUUGGACAAUGGGCGGAAGCCUGAUCCAGCAACGCCGCGUGAGGGAUGACGGCCUUCGGGUUGUAAACCUCUUUCAGUACCGACGAAGUUUCUGCUUUUUGGUGGGGGUGACGGUAGGUACAGAAGAAGCACCGGCCAACUACGUGCCAGCAGCCGCGGUAAUACGUAGGGUGCGAGCGUUGUCCGGAAUUAUUGGGCGUAAAGGGCUCGUAGGCGGUUUGUCGCGUCGGGAGUGAAAACGCCGUGCUUAACACGGCGCUUGCUUUCGAUACGGGCAGACUAGAGGUAUGCAGGGGAGAACGGAAUUCCUGGUGUAGCGGUGAAAUGCGCAGAUAUCAGGAGGAACACCGGUGGCGAAGGCGGUUCUCUGGGCAUUACCUGACGCUGAGGAGCGAAAGUGUGGGGAGCGAACA
rnacentral:rRNA from 1 species